UACAGAGGGUGCGAGCGUUAAUCGGAAUUACUGGGCGUAAAGCGUGCGUAGACGGCUAUCUAAGUCGGGUGUGAAAGCCCCGGGCUCAACCUGGGAAUUGCAUUCGAGACUGAAUAGCUAGGGUGCGGUAGAGGGAAGCGGAAUUUCCGGUGUAGCGGUGAAAUGCGUAGAUAUCCGGAAGAACACCGGAGGCGAAGGCGGCUUGCUGGACCUGGUCUGACGCUGAGGCGCGAAAGCGUGGGGAGCGAACAGG
rnacentral:rRNA from 1 species